GACUAAAAAUAACAAAAUCCUAAAAAUUAUAUUCAAUUACUACCCCCUGUUCACAUCUUUCCCUCACCCAUUUUUCAGAAAAAAAAAAAAAAAAGAAAAGAGGAGUGAAAAGGAAAAUGGAGGAAAGGGCAUGGGAGCAAAAACUAAAACAGGCAAUUAUGCAGAAAGGCUGGUUUUCUGAGAGCAUGGAGGGCACAGUGUUUCUGUAGUUGUGGGGGAAAAAGACUCCUGAGAGACACCCAGAGCAUGAAAAUUAGGUUUCUGCUUUGAAUCACUCCAGGCAAGUUCUCUUUAGAAGCAGCUGAAGAGCCCGGUCUCACAGGCUGAAGGUAGCCUUUGCAAACACCUCCUGUAAAAUAUUUACUUUCAUUAAAACCCUUCGUUUUCCUGAUUUUUAUUUUAGAAUCCAGGACAGUGCAAAAUGUCAUUUCUCAGAUGGUUGCACUGAUCAUGUGUUUAAUCAUUUCAGUAUGUACAAGAUACUUUAUGGGAGGACUGUUUGCCACUUUGUUGCUGGUGAUUUUAGUUCUUCUUUUGUCCCAAGAUACUGCUGUGUCCGCUUUCUUCAGUCUCAAUACAUUUUUCAAAACAACUAAAUUUUGGUAAGUAGUUCCAGUGUCACGUGAUGAAUAGAGAAAUUUAGAAAUUUUAUAUUAAGAAGAGGAAGGAGAUUCCUCCUGUUCUUUUCAAGUCAGAAGACAGAAGGUGGGGUCUGAAGUUACUGAUGGAGCUUUUGGCUUUUCCAGUUACUGAUCUGUAUUCAUAGAAACUCUGUUAAUUCAAAAACCUGCCUUUUCAUAAAGUGCAAUAAAUGUUGUAGCAGAAAAGGGAGG
rnacentral:lncRNA from 1 species